GCUCACUUGGUGAAAUUGGUAUACACGACAGACUUAAAAUCUGUUCCCGUCUUUUCUGGGGUAUCGGUUCAAGUCCGAUAGUGAGCA
rnacentral:tRNA from 1 species